rnacentral:lncRNA from 1 species
GUCAUUUCCUUCAUAAACAAGUCCUACUUCCUCUCGAGGGUCCAUAUCAGCUGAGCUUAUCCUGUGAGUGCCCCAGUGGGAAUUGAGUUCAUUUCAGAGUGUCCUUCCCUCCCACACGGAGUGUGGGAGUGGUGAGGUCUGGGAGAUCACGACCUUAAUUCUCUCCAAGACAGACGGUUUAAUUAACACUGGAGGAAUCCUCACUGGCUCCAGACCUCUACAAUGGGAAUGUGCACGGGAAUUGGAUUGCCAAGACCCCAACAUGAGGACUAAGAAGUAAAUGUUUAAAUACAAGGUGGACAUAUACUGUAUAUACUGGACUGGAAGAUAUAGCACUAUUCGAAGCAACUGACAGAAGG